CGGCGGUUACUCGUACUCGUCAGUGUCGUCACUUCUGCUCGUCGUCGUUGGAGGUUGGUUGCGGUCGGCUGGAGCUGCUGAAUUUUAUUGUCUGGAUUGAAGGUGGUGAUGGGAGCAGCAGUGUCCCCCCGUGACAAGGACCUGGCUCUCCAGGACCGGGACCUGGCCCCACCUAACCCGGACUGAGUUCGAUAAAAAAUAUAUAUGCAUAUAUAUUAUUGUUUGAAUAUGUUUUGUGAUUCUCUCGAAUAUUCUUCAAUAUACUUUUGAUCAUUUGGUUGAUUUCAUCAAUAAACAAGUUGAUUUCAUCAA